rnacentral:rRNA from 1 species
AUGUCCUAUGGAGUCUAUGAAUCGAAGGUGUCAGAAGCAAAUAGAGAGCGGAACAAGACGACAGCCAGGACUAACUACGGGGCUAAAAUGAGGCUGAAGAGGGAAAAGGAUGGAACACUUGUCAUAAAAGAGAUAGUCUGGGAACACAACCAAAGGCUAUAGCUCACCCCCAUGCUUGUGUUCUUGCACUCCCACAAAAACUUUGACAAAACAAUCUUGGAGUACGUCAAGUACCUGCAGUUCAAAGGCAUUGAACAUGCGCAAAUCAUGAGCAUACUGGGCGGCGAUGACCCCGGUAGCUACUUCCUCGAAAUGAAUGCCAAAGACCUGAUUAACCUCAAAGCAAAGAAUUCAAGGGUGGAUGAUGUGGACGAUGUCCUAAAGACUGUCAACUUCUUUAGGGAGAUGAGAGCUAUAAACACGGAAUUCUUCUGUGACAUCCAACUUGACGCAAGCUGCCGAGGGGCGUAUCAGGACAUCGGUGACUGCGUAACGUUUCACGCCACAUAUAAGACCAACAAAUACCAUAUGCCACUUGUGGUGUUUGUGGGUACUAACAACCACUUACAGACUACAUUCUUUGGUUUCGCCCUGAUAAGAGAUGAGGAUGCAGAUUCAUUCACAUGGCUCUUUAAGACAUUUUUAAGGUGCAUGAGAUGGAAGGCUCCUACAUGCAGCCUCACAGACUAGUGCCCGGCAAUGGCUUUGACGAUCCCAGAUGCUUUCAAGAAUACAGUACACAAGUUGUGUCGUUGGCACAUUAUGAAGAAGUACAGGGAAGACUUCGCAUACCUGUACAAUCUACACGAAGACUUUAAGGAUGAAUUCACAUCAAUCCUCAACUGGCCCCUCAUGCCAACUGAGUUUGAGGCUGCCUGGAAAAGACUCAUGGAUAAGUAGAACCUCCAUGAUGAUGCCACGAUGGUGGGCAUGUGAAAUGAGCGUGAGAGAUCGAUAUGAGCCUACUUCAAAGAAAUUUCCUGCGCCAAAAUGACAUCCACAUAACGAAGUGAGAGCAUGAACUAUGUGCUCAAGAAGAAUAUCGUAAGUGAGAGACAAAACCUCCACCGGUUUGUCAGCCAGGUAAACUCCUACGUCAAAAGCAGGAGGUAG